AACGCACAUUGCGCCCCUUGGUAUUCCGAGGGGCAUGCCUGUUCGAGCGUCAUAACAACCCCUCAGGCCGCUCAGGCUUGGUCUUGGGGCUCGCCCGCCUUGGCGCGGCGGCCCUCAAACACCGUGGCGGUGCUGGUGGUGCUCUCCGCGUAGUCACGUUCUCGCGACAGGGCGGCACUGGACCCAGCCAAAACCCGACGCCGGCAAGGUGUCAACCCCCCUCUCUAGGUUGACCUCGAAUCAGGUAGGGAUACCCGCUGAACUUAA
rnacentral:misc_RNA from 1 species